rnacentral:rRNA from 1 species
AGUGGGGGAUAACGUCCGGAAACGGGCGCUAAUACCGCAUACGUCCUGAGGGAGAAAGUGGGGGAUCUUCGGACCUCACGCUAUCAGAUGAGCCUAGGUCGGAUUAGCUAGUUGGUGGGGUAAAGGCCUACCAAGGCGACGAUCCGUAACUGGUCUGAGAGGAUGAUCAGUCACACUGGAACUGAGACACGGUCCAGACUCCUACGGGAGGCAGCAGUGGGGAAUAUUGGACAAUGGGCGAAAGCCUGAUCCAGCCAUGCCGCGUGUGUGAAGAAGGUCUUCGGAUUGUAAAGCACUUUAAGUUGGGAGGAAGGGCAGUAAGUUAAUACCUUGCUGUUUUGACGUUACCAACAGAAUAAGCACCGGCUAACUUCGUGCCAGCAGCCGCGGUAAUACGAAGGGUGCAAGCGUUAAUCGGAAUUACUGGGCGUAAAGCGCGCGUAGGUGGUUCAGCAAGUUGGAUGUGAAAUCCCCGGGCUCAACCUGGGAACUGCAUCCAAAGCUACUGAGCUAGAGUACGGUAGAGGGUGGUGGAAUUUCCUGUGUAGCGGUGAAAUGCGUAGAUAUAGGAAGGAACACCAGUGGCGAAGGCGACCACCUGGACUGAUACUGACACUGAGGUGCGAAAGCGUGGGGAGCAAACAGG